AGCAGCCGCGGUAAUUCCAGCUCCAAUAGCGUAUAUUAAAGUUGUUGCAGUUAAAAAGCUCGUAGUUGAAUUUCGAGAUCGGCUUACUGGUCGUGCUAUUGUACGUACUGGUAUAAUCGGUUUCUCCUUUCUGACGAACUAUAAUGCCAUUAAUUUGGUGUUUUAGGGAAUCAGGACUGUUACUUUGAAAAAUUAGAGUGUUUAAAGCAGGCUCACGCUUGAAUACAUUAGCAUGGAAUAACGGAAUAGGACGUUUGAUUCUAUUUUGUUGGUUUCUAGGAUCGACGUAAUGAUUAAUAGGGAUAGUUGGGGGCAUUAGUAUUCAAUUGUCAGAGGUGAAAUUCUUGGAUUUAUUGAAGACUAACUACUGCGAAAGCAUUUGCCAAGGAUGUUUUCAUUAAUCAAGAACGAAAGCUAGGGGAUCGAAGACGAUCAGAUACCGUCGUAGUCUUAACCAUAAACUAUGCCGACUAGGGAUCGGAUGAUGUUAAUUUUUAAUUGACUCA
rnacentral:rRNA from 1 species